rnacentral:sRNA from 1 species
UGUAAGGUAAGCUUAGCUAUUAGAACCAU